rnacentral:rRNA from 1 species
GGCGGCAUGCCUAACACAUGCAAGUCGAAUGGUAACACGAGGAGUUUGCUCCUUGGUGACGAGUGGCGAACGGGUGAGUAACGCGUAGGGACGUACCCUUAGGCCUGGGAUAACCUUAGGAAACUGGGGCUAAUACCGGAUAAGUUCUACGGAAUAAAGUGUGCUUUGGCACACGCUUAAGGAGUGACCUGCGUCCGAUUAGCUAGUUGGUGGGGUAAAGGCCUACCAAGGCGACGAUCGGUAGCUGUUCUGAGAGGAAGAUCAGCCACACUGGGACUGAGACACGGCCCAGACUCCUACGGGAGGCAGCAGUGGGGAAUAUUGGACAAUGGGGGCAACCCUGAUCCAGCAAUGCCGCGUGUAUGAAGAAGGCCUGCGGGUUGUAAAGUACUUUCGUUGGGGAGGAGGCUUAACAUUUUUAAUAGAGAUGUUGAGUGACGUUACCCAAAGAAGAAGCACCGGCUAACUCUGUGCCAGCAGCCGCGGUAAUACAGAGGGUGCGAGCGUUAAUCGGAAUUACUGGGCGUAAAGGGCGCGUAGGUGGUUAAUUAAGUUAGCUGUGAAAUACCAGGGCUUAACCUUGGGGAGUCAGCUAAUACUGAAUAACUAGAGUACAGUAGAGGGUAGUGGAAUUUCCGGUGUAGCGGUGAAAUGCGUAGAUAUCGGAAGGAACAUCGGUGGCGAAGGCGGCUACCUGGACUGAUACUGACACUGAGGCGCGAAGGCAUGGGUAGCAAACAGGAUUAGAUACCCUGGUAGUCCAUGCUGUAAACGAUGACAACUAGCUGUUGGAAGCUUUGAGCUUUCAGUAGCGUAGCUAACGCGAUAAGUUGUCCGCCUGGGGAGUACGGCCGCAAGGCUAAAACUCAAA